rnacentral:rRNA from 1 species
UACGUAGGGGGCAAGCGUUAUCCGGAUUUACUGGGCGUAAAGCGAGCGCAGGUGGUUUAUUAAGUCUGGUGUAAAAGGCAGUGGCUCAACCAUUGUAUGCAUUGGAAACUGGUAGACUUGAGUGCAGGAGAGGAGAGUGGAAUUCCAUGUGUAGCGGUGAAAUGCGUAGAUAUAUGGAGGAACACCGGUGGCGAAAGCGGCUCUCUGGCCUGUAACUGACACUGAGGCUCGAAAGCGUGGGGAGCAAACAGG